rnacentral:rRNA from 1 species
UGGUGGAGUGAUUUGUCUGCCUAAUCGCGAUAACGAACGAGACCUUAACCUGCUAAAUAGCCCGUAUUGCUUCGGCAGUACGCUGGCUUCUUAGAGGGACUAUCGGCUCAAGCCGAUGGAAGUUUGAGGCAAUAACA